rnacentral:rRNA from 1 species
UGGGGAAUAUUGCGCAAUGGGCGAAAGCCUGACGCAGCGACGCCGCGUGAGGGAUGAAGGUUUUCGGAUCGUAAACCUCUGUCAGAAGGGAAGAAACCGCACUGUGCUAAUCAGCAGUGCCUUGACGGUACCUUCAAAGGAAGCACCGGCUAACUCCGUGCCAGCAGCCGCGGUAAUACGGAGGGUGCAAGCGUUAAUCGGAAUUACUGGGCGUAAAGCGCACGUAGGCUGCUUUGUAAGUCAGGGGUGAAAUCCCACGGCUCAACCGUGGAACUGCCUUUGAUACUGCUUAGCUUGAAUCCGGGAGAGGGUGGCGGAAAUCCAGGUGUAGGAGUGAAAUCCGUAGAUAUCUGGGGGAACAACAGUGGCGAAGGCGGCCACCUGGGCCGGUAUUGACGCUGAGGUGCGAAAGCGUGGGGAGCAAACAGG